CAACUUGCACAAGUUUCGGCGCGGAGCGCGGCGCCGCCGCCGCCGCCCCCGAGCCCAGCCCCGUCUUACCGCGCCGGCUCCCGCGGGGCUGCGAAGCUCUGUCCCGGCCGGCGCGGCCCGGGGCGCGGGGCCGGCCCCGGCCGGGGGCUGCGGGGGGCGGCCGCAGUGCCGGCCCCGCUCGGCUGGGCCGGGCUGCGCUCGGUUCCGGCCUCUUCCGCUCUUGCCUCUACUUUUCCACCCGGGCUGGCCGCAACUUGUGGUCCCUGCCCUCCGCCGGCGGCUCCCAGGAGUUGAUGGAGAGGGAGAUGCGGCGGCGAGCGCCCGGCGACGGGCGCGGGCAGCCAGGCAAACUCGCAGGGAUGUCGCUCCGGAGGGGCGGGGAGGGAAGGAAGGAGGCAGGCAAGGAGGGUGGGAGGGAGGCGGAGAAGCGGCGGGGGGGUUGGCAGAGCCGCCCCCGGCGGAACGGGGAUGUGCCGAUGCUCCGCGCCGAGCUCGGCGGCGGGCGGGCUGCCGGUCCCGCCGUGGCUCCCCGCGGCUCUUCCCCGCGGCUGCGUGCGCUGCCCCACUGCUCCCGGCGCCCAGCCCCGCUCUCGGCCGAGGAUGGCACCGCGCCUGGGCUGCCGGCGGAGCGGAGCCGGGCUCGGCGGGAGCGCCCGGGGACAGGGCCGGGGCCGGAGCGGGGGGACCGCGGCUGGCGGCGGCCCAGGGCUGGGCUGAGGCGAGAGACCCGGUGCAGCGGGUCCCGGUGCGGGGAGCGGGGAGCUGAGGAGUUUCAGCUGAAGACUUCUGAAGUAAAAUACAAAGGCGUCAUUAGGAGUGAAAUCCUCUGCUGCUUGAUGGUCACGGUCAGUGGUGCACUCAAGGGCCAGCAGAAAAUGUUGGCCUGCCCCCCUGGUCCUGUGGUCUGCCCGCAAAAUCCAAGAUGUGUAGCACCAUUGCUGCGUUGGAAUCACUUUUGGUCGAUGGUGGUGACUUCCAGAGCCUGAUUUCAUGACCUGGUGUCUGUGACCAAGCUGUUCUUCGGUAGUCGAGUGCAGGAAACAAAAGGCUGUGAGAUUUUGAGUGUGCUACCACUUACUGUGUUUAUAAUCUGUACUUCAAAGGAUGUAGAUUUUUAAUCAAUAAGCAUAACUUUUUCCAAGGCCUGUAUUCUUCUUUUUUUUUAUUUGCCCCCAUACCUAGAAAUGCUGUUGCAUGUUUAAGUAUUGCUUAAGCUACUCAAUGUGUAACUACAUUGAAAUGCAUAUAUGAAUUUAUAAAGGCCAUACAUUAUGGAUACUGAUUCUGUUUCUUUGUGCUAUGGAGUGCACCUCAGAAGGAUUAAAUUAUUAAAUUAUGCACAUUUACAUUAGUGAUGAACUGUGCCUGGAACCAUCCUAAUGUCUCAGAUGUGCCCUAUAGACUUGGCUUAAAAGGGAAAAAUACUGAUUAUUGCCUGGAUCAUAUCUUCCCAUCAGAAGAAAUUUGCAUAAUGAACAAAGAUCAGCACAUAAUUCCCUGACCUUGAAUCUUUUACAGUUGUGCCUUUUAUGCUGCUAGGGAAGUUAUUCCAGGAGGAAAGCAAAAGGAAAUGUAAAGCAACAAUAGAGGCCACAUUCCCCUUUAAGUCUGUAGAAACUGAGUGGAAUACACUACAAAUGAAAACCUCCCAAGUCUUUCCUUCUAUUCUCAUUGUACCCAUUACAUUUUUUCCCAAGGCUGGCCCAUUCUGGAACAUAUUAAAGUCCCCGAGAAUGACUUUUCCCAUAAAUUGUCAGGCAAUUCAGAAUGAGCAGAGUAUGUAUAGGACUUAUGGUAGGUUAAAAGCAAGAGUAAAACUCUCCCAAGAGCUUUUCUCACUCCCUGGGACCUGUGCUGAGAUCAUUACAUAUACAGUGUUCAACUGCAGUGUGAUAUUUGUGGAAAAACAUGAACAUGAUUUACUGACUUGCCCCAUAUAUUCACAAAUGGUACCAUUUAGAAAAACUCUAAUAAAUAAGGCAAUGAAGGCA
ensembl:lncRNA